UACGUAGGGUCCGAGCGUUGUCCGGAAUUACUGGGCGUAAAGAGCUCGUAGGUGGUUUGUCGCGUUGUUCGUGAAAACUCACAGCUCAACUGUGGGCGUGCGGGCGAUACGGGCAGACUUGAGUACUGCAGGGGAGACUGGAAUUCCUGGUGUAGCGGUGGAAUGCGCAGAUAUCAGGAGGAACACCGGUGGCGAAGGCGGGUCUCUGGGCCGAUACUGACGCUGAGGAGCGAAAGCGUGGGGAGCGAACAGG
rnacentral:rRNA from 1 species